AACGAACGCUGGCAGCAUGCCUAACACAUGCAGGUCGAACGAGACCUUCGGGUCUAGUGGCGCACGGGUGCGUAACGCGUGGGAACCUGCCCUUAGGUUCGGAAUAACUCCCCGAAAGGGGUGCUAAUACCGGAUAAUGUCUUCGGACCAAAGAUUUAUCGCCUUUGGAUGGGCCCGCGUUGGAUUAGCUAGUUGGUAGGGUAAAAGCCUACCAAGGCGACGAUCCAUAGCUGGUCUGAGAGGAUGAUCAGCCACACUGGGACUGAGACACGGCCCAGACUCCUACGGGAGGCAGCAGUGGGGAAUAUUGGACAAUGGGCGAAAGCCUGAUCCAGCAAUGCCGCGUGAGUGAUGAAGGCCUUAGGGUUGUAAAGCUCUUUUACCCGGGAUGAUAAUGACAGUACCGGGAGAAUAAGCUCCGGCUAACUCCGUG
rnacentral:rRNA from 1 species